rnacentral:rRNA from 1 species
CCUAACACAUGCAAGUCGAACGGGAUUAGGGGCUUGCUCCUAAUCUAGUGGCGCACGGGUGAGUAACGCGUAGAUAAUCUGCCUGAUGAUCCGGGAUAACACUUCGAAAGGGGUGCUAAUACCGGAUAAGCCCACGGGGUCUUUGGAUCUUGCGGGAAAAGGGGGGGACCUUCGGGCCUUCUGUCAUCAGAUGAGUCUGCGUACCAUUAGCUAGUUGGUAGGGUAAUGGCCUACCAAGGCUACGAUGGUUAGCUGGUUUGAGAGAAUGAUCAGCCACACUGGAACUGAGACACGGUCCAGACUCCUACGGGAGGCAGCAGUGGGGAAUUUUGCGCAAUGGGCGAAAGCCUGACGCAGCAACGCCGCGUGAGUGAUGAAGGCUUUCGGGUCGUAAAGCUCUGUCGAGGGGAAAGAAGUGUAUUGUGGCUAAUAUCCAUGAUACUUGACGGUACCCCUAAAGGAAGCACCGGCUAACUCCGUGCCAGCAGCCGCGGUAAUACGGGGGGUGCAAGCGUUGUUCGGAAUUAUUGGGCGUAAAGAGCGUGUAGGCGGUUUGUUAAGUCUGAUGUGAAAGCCCUGGGCUCAACCCAGGAAGUGCAUUGGAAACUGGCGGACUUGAAUACGGGAGAGGGCAGUGGAACUYCUAGUGUAGGAGUGAAAUCCGUAGAUAUUAGGAGGAACACCGGUGGCGAAGGCGGCUGUCUGGACCGAUWUUUGACGCUGAGACGCGAAAGCGUGGGUAGCAAACAGGAUUAGAUACYCUGGUAGUCCACGCCGUAAACGAUGAGAACUAGGUGUUKGCGGGUAUUGACCCCUGCAGUGCCGCAGCUAACRCAUUAAKUUCUYCGCYUGGGRAAGUACGGUCGCAAGAYUAAAAYUCAARGGAUUUGACGGGGGCCUCGCACAAAGCGGRKGAAGCAUGGKGUUUAAUUCGACGCAACSCGCAGAAACUUAMCUGGGGCUUGACAUCAUACGGAACCCUUCUGGAAGCGAGGGGGGUGCUUUUUCGGG